AUUGAACGCUGGCGGAAUGCUUUACACAUGCAAGUCGAACGGCAGCACGGGGCAACCUGGUGGCGAGUGGCGAACGGGUGAGUAAUAUAUCGGAACGUGCCCAAUCGUGGGGGAUAACGUAGCGAAAGUUACGCUAAUACCGCAUACGAUCUACGGAUGAAAGCGGGGGAGUCGCAAGACCUCGCGCGAAUGGAGCGGCCGAUAUCAGAUUAGGUAGUUGGUGGGGUAAAGGCUCACCAAGCCAACGAUCUGUAGCUGGUCUGAGAGGACGACCAGCCACACUGGAAC
rnacentral:rRNA from 1 species